rnacentral:lncRNA from 1 species
CCCAACAAUGGGUUGACCAAUUCAUCUGAAAAUUUCAGGGCAGAUAGAUCUUGACCUGAUAAACAUUUUUACCCCAUGUCAGAUUUGCUCUAAAUGCUUUGGUUUUUGAGUUAUAAGCCAAAAACUGCAUUUUACCCCUAUGUUCUAUUUUUAGCCGUGGCGGCCAUCUUGGUUGGUUGACCGGGUCACGCCACACAUUUUUAAAACUAGAUACCCCAAUGAUGAUUG